CUCCUCAUAGUUCAAUGGAUAGAACAAGGGACUCCUAAGCCCUAGAUGCAGGUCCGAUUCCUGCUGAGGAGA
rnacentral:tRNA from 1 species